rnacentral:rRNA from 1 species
UAGUCAUAUGCUUGUCUCAAAGAUUAAGCCAUGCAUGUCUAAGUAUAAACAACUUUAUACUGUGAAACUGCGAACGGCUCAUUAUAUCAGCAAUAAUUUAUUUGAUGGUUCCUUACUACAUGGAUAACUGUAGUAAUUCUAGAGCUAAUACAUGCGUAAAGUCCCGACUCUCGCGGGGAGGGAUGUAUUUAUUAGAUAAAAAACCAAUGCGGGCUCUGUCCGGUUUUGUGGCGAAUCGUAGUAACUUUUCGAAUCGCAUGGCUUCACGCCGGCGAUAGUUCAUUCAAAUUUCUGCCCUAUCAGCUUUCGACGGUAGUGUAGUGGACUACCGUGGCGUUAACGGGUAACGGAGAAUUAGGGUUCGAUUCCGGAGAGGGAGCCUGAGAAACGGCUACCACAUCCAAGGAAGGCAGCAGGCGCGUAAACUACCCAAUCCUGACACAGGGAGGUAGUGACAAAAAAUAACAAUACCUGGCCUUUUCAGGUCGGGUAAUUGG